CAUCUUUCUCUUCUCAGUAUGGGCACGCCAACCAUAAAAUGAUAUGUGAGUUCAUUACAACGGAACAGCCCAGGGGUAAAUACAUGAAAGACUGAGUGAGAAUUCUUCAGCAUUUCCAUCCUAUCAAGAGCACACAACAGUGGAAUAAAUCCAUAUAUGCAAACCAGGCAUAGUGUGGCACACACCUUUAAUCCCAGCACUCAGGAAUCGGAGGCAGGGUGUGAGCUGUCCGGCUUACUGAUACUGAUAAUCAAUUCCUGGAGCUUUCCAUUCUGGCUGCCUUAUGGCAGCUUCUCCCUUGUGCCGGGACUUUGAAGUUGGGAGGACUGUAGACUGCAGUCUGCGUGCCUGUUCCUGCCACGGG
rnacentral:lncRNA from 1 species